GAUAGCCAUAAGUGAAGCCGUGAAGCCAUGUGUCGUCGUCGUCGACAACAAAUUGUUCUCAGGAAGGACUUUGACCAAAAUGUUUAAAUGACCAUAAAGGAUAUGCUCGUCAACAAACAAUAGAUGAUUGAGAAGUUAGAACUUCCAUUUAUUACUGCAAUUUUGAAGAUGCCAUUAAACAUUAAGAAAAUGAAAUGGGAAGAAUAUUUGAAAUUAAAAAAAAUCAAAUUCAAGAAACUUCCAACACUUUACCUUGUCUCGUCGUUGGCGCUCUCUCAUCUCACACUCUGCAGCUAGCAUCGCCUGCUGGAAAUUCUUCCGUUUGAUUUAUCAAAGCUUUUUCUUCUUCUUCUUCUACCAUAAUGUCUAAAUGGGGAGAGAGAGUUUCCUUACACACUCAAAUUGAUUGGUUUUGAGAACGACUCCAGAUCAGGCUUGUUUUGUACCUGACAACUUUUAUCUGUGGAUAAACGAUCAUCGAAUUAAAAAAAAAUUAUCUUUUAACAAUUCAAGUGAAGUGUAACUAAAAAGUUUUAUGACCCGCCAAACUGGCACCUCUAAGCUUAAACCAUUCUUAUCUAAUUACAUUCAACUUGGCUAUAUUAUUUUGGCGUCGACGUGAAUCAUGUCAUAGCUUAAGAUGGGAUCCACGAUAUACUUCGAGACAUUGACCUACAUUUCGGACAAUUUGUAGAAAAGAAAUGAAAUGCAAUCUCGACCUUUUCAACCAUACCCAAAAAUUCGUUUGUCUUACAAUCUCUUUAAACGUAACCUUUGCUUCCAUACGUAGCGUGAAUGGAAUAGAAGUGAAAUCUAAACUUUAAUAAUUUGCAUUACC